rnacentral:misc_RNA from 1 species
GCCAAGGUCACAGCGAUGGGUGACAGUACCAGGAAGUGACUGCGAAAACAGUUGCAACCCUAGUUUCGUAUAGGACAUUAUGACACCGCAAUCCUAGGAAUUAUUGCGAAGUUAGGGGAAAAGUGCAAAUCACAGAAAAGAGUGGAGAACAAGGCCAAAUAAUUAGAUCAGGGUUCAGAAAGCAAUACAGUGUUAUUGGAAAAUCGGAUCAGGCCGGUAAGGGACAAAUUGGUCAAUUCACCCUUAGA